AGGAAACGACAAAGUACAAGUUGCUAGCCGAAGAUAAAAAUAUCAGACUAGUAAGUUUAGAUGUAUAUAUAGUUGCAAUUAUAACUUCUUACAAACUGUGAACGACAUCUGAUACUUGUUUCUCCUGAACGUAUAUAAUAUAAAAUUAUUUCUGAUUUAAAAAUAUGUUUCUCUUAGACGUAUGAUAUGAAACCAAAUCCACAAGUGACUGGACAAAUUGUUGCAUUGGUAGUAUUCAGGUAGGUAUAUUAACUACAUUGUACAUUACUGGUGAUCGUAUGCUGUAUAAGCAUUUCAAAUGAAUAUCGACUGGUAUAAAAUCAAGGAAAGAUCAAGGCACUG